rnacentral:misc_RNA from 1 species
GAUGAAGAACGUAGCGAAAUGCGAUACGUAAUGUGAAUUGCAGAAUUCAGUGAAUCAUCGAAUCUUUGAACGCAUAUUGCGCUCUCUGGUAUUCCGGAGAGCAUGCUUGUUUGAGUAUCAGUAAACACCUCAACUUCCAUAUCUUUUUUGAAAUGGGAGUUGGACUUGAGUGAUCCCAACGCUUUUCCUCACCGAAAAGUGGCGGGUUACUUGAAAUGCAGGUGCAGCUGGACUUUUCUCUGAGCUAUAAGCAUAUCUAUUUAGUCUGCCUAAAAAACAGAUUAUUACCUUUGCUGCAGCUAACAUAAAGGAGAUUAGUUCUUGUGCUGACUGAUGCAGGAUUCACAAAGACAGGCUUCGGCCGACUUUGUAAACUCGAUCUCAAAUCAAGUAAGACUACCCGCUGAACUUAAGCAUCUCAAUACGCGGAGGA